rnacentral:rRNA from 1 species
UACGGAGGGUGCAAGCGUUGUCCGGAUUCAUUGGGUUUAAAGGGUGCGUAGGCGGGACAUUAAGUCAGGGGUGAAAGACGGUUGCUCAACAAUCGCAGUGCCUUUGAUACUGGUGUUCUUGGGUGACCUUGAGGUAGGCGGAAUGGGUGGUGUAGCGGUGAAAUGCAUAGAUACCACCCAGAACCCCGAUUGCGAAGGCAGCCUACUGGAGGUUUACCGACGCUCAGGCACGAAAGCGUGGGGAUCAAACAGG